rnacentral:rRNA from 1 species
GAUGAACGCUGGCGGCGUGCCUAAUACAUGCAAGUCGAGCGAACGGACGAGAAGCUUGCUUCUCUGAUGUUAGCGGCGGACGGGUGAGUAACACGUGGAUAACCUACCUAUAAGACUGGGAUAACUUCGGGAAACCGGAGCUAAUACCGGAUAAUAUUUUGAACCGCAUGGUUCAAAAGUGAAAGACGGUCUUGCUGUCACUUAUAGAUGGAUCCGCGCUGCAUUAGCUAGUUGGUAAGGUAACGGCUUACCAAGGCAACGAUGCAUAGCCGACCUGAGAGGAUGAUCAGCCACACUGGAACUGAGACACGGUCCAGACUCCUACGGGAGGCAGCAGUAGGGAAUCUUCCGCAAUGGGCGAAAGCCUGACGGAGCAACACCGCGUGGGUGAUGAAGGUCUUCGGAUCGUAAAGCUCUGUUAUUAGGGAAGAACAUGUGUAUAAGUAACUGUGCACAUCUUGACGGUACCUAAUCAAAAAGCCACGGCUAACUACGUG